GUCUACGGCCAUGUCACCCUGAACAAGCCCGAUCCCGUCUGAUCCCAGAAGCUAAGCAGGGUCGGGCCUGGUUAGUACUUGGAUGGGCAACCACCUACGAAGACCAGGUGCUGUAGACA
rnacentral:rRNA from 1 species